AUUGAACGCUGGCGGCAGGCCUAACACAUGCAAGUCGAACGGUAACAGUAAGAAGCUUGCUUCUUUGCUGACGAGUGGCGGACGGGUGAGUAAUGUCUGGGAAACUGCCUGAUGGAGGGGGAUAACUACUGGAAACGGUAGCUAAUACCGCAUAACGUCGCAAGACCAAAGAGGGGGACCUUCGGGCCUCUUGCCCUCGGAUGUGCCCAGAUGGGAUUAGCUAGUAGGUGGGGUAACGGCUCACCUAGGCGACGAUCCCUAGCUGGUCUGAGAGGAUGACCAGCCACACUGGAACUGAGACACGGUCCAGACUCCUACGGGAGGCAGCAGUGGGGAAUAUUGCACAAUGGGCGCAAGCCUGAUGCAGCCAUGCCGCGUGUAUGAAGAAGGCCUUCGGGUUGUAAAGUACUUUCAGCGGGGAGGAAGGGAGUAAAGUUAAUACCUUUGCUCAUUGACGUUACCCGCAGAAGAAGCACCGGCUAACUCCGUG
rnacentral:rRNA from 1 species